GACGAACGCUGGCGGCGUGCCUAAUACAUGCAAGUCGAACGCAGAUGUGAACGGGUGAGUAACGCUUACGUAACUGCCUGGUAGCGGGGGAUAAGUAUCGGAUACGAAAGCUAAUACCGCUUACUCCCAGAUGGACAUGCGUUGCAUUAGCUCGUUGGUGAGGUAACGGCUCAACAAGGCAACGAUACAUAGCCGAACUGAGAGGAUGAUCGGCCACACUGGGACUGAGACACGGCCCAGACUCCUACGGGAGGCAGGAGUAGGGAAUCUUCGGAAAUGGGGGGAAGCCUGACCGAGCAACGCCGCGUGAGUGAAGAAGGUUUUCGGGUCGUAAAGCUCUGUUGUUAAGGAAGCGGUACUUAACCAGAAAGGGACGGCUAACUACGUGCCAGCAGCCGCGGUAAUAC
rnacentral:rRNA from 1 species